rnacentral:tRNA from 1 species
GGAGGGGCUGUGGCCCAGUGGGUAGAGCGUUUGCUUUGCAUGUGGAAGGUCCCAGGUUCGAUUUCUGGCUUCUCCA